rnacentral:rRNA from 1 species
UUGGAGGGCAAGUCUGGUGCCAGCAGCCGCGGUAAUUCCAGCUCCAAUAGCGUAUAUUAAAGUUGUUGCAGUUAAAAAGCUCGUAGUUGAAUUUCGGGAUCAAUUUGCUGGUCGUGCCUUUGGUACGCACUGGUAUUAUUGGUUUCUCCUUUCUGAAGAAUCACGAUGUCAUUAAUUUGGUGUCGUGAGGAAUCAGGACUGUUACUUUGAAAAAAUUAGAGUGUUUAAAGCAGGCUCACGCUUGAAUACAUUAGCAUGGAAUAAUGAAAUAGGACGUUUGAUUCUAUUUUGUUGGUUUCUAGGAUUGACGUAAUGAUUAAUAGGGAUAGUCGGGGGCAUUAGUAUUCAAUUGUCAGAGGUGAAAUUCUUGGAUUUAUUGAAGACUAACUACUGCGAAAGCAUUUGCCAAGGAUGUUUUCAUUAAUCAAGAACGAAAGUUAGGGGAUCGAAGACGAUCAGAUACCGUCGUAGUCUUAACCAUAAACUAUGCCGACUAGGGAUCGGAUGAUGUUAAUUUUUUAAUGACUCAUUCGGCGCCUUACGGGAAAC